rnacentral:rRNA from 1 species
GAUGAACGCUGGCGGCGUGCCUAAUACAUGCAAGUCGAGCGAACAGAUGAGGAGCUUGCUCCUCUGACGUUAGCGGCGGACGGGUGAGUAACACGUGGAUAACCUACCUAUAAGACUGGGAUAACUUCGGGAAACCGGAGCUAAUACCGGAUAAUAUAUUGAACCGCAUGGUUCAAUAGUGAAAGACGGUUUUGCUGUCACUUAUAGAUGGAUCCGCGCCGCAUUAGCUAGUUGGUAAGGUAACGGCUUACCAAGGCAACGAUGCGUAGCCGACCUGAGAGGGUGAUCGGCCACACUGGAACUGAGACACGGUCCAGACUCCUACGGGAGGCAGCAGUAGGGAAUCUUCCGCAAUGGGCGAAACCCUGACGGAGCAACGCCGCGUGAGUGAUGAAGGUCUUCGGAUCGUAAAACUCUGUUAUUAGGGAAGAACAAAUGUGUAAGUAACUAUGCACGUCUUGACGGUACCUAAUCAGAAAGCCGCGGCUAACUACGUG